UUCUUCUACUUCUCUAUCUAACUAAUAUGUUUCUCCUUUUCGAGAGUUUCUCAAAUAUUUUCUAAUUCACUCUCCGAUGUUCACUAAUUCAAAGUGUGAACUUUGUUUUGGUGAUUCAAUCCUCACAAAUCAGUAAUCUUUAGGAGAUUUAUUUUGCUGGCGAUUUCUUCCCAUCUUUAUUCACAUAUUAGUUAGACCUGCUAGAAUUUGGGAGAAACGAAUGAUGGGCGAGUGAGUAACAUUAAUUGAGAUUUUUAUGCUAUUAAUAUCUGUUAUUAUUUCUAAUGUAUGGAUUGAGUUUGUUUUUGUAAUUCAGUUGUUUACUGUUGAAGAACCAGACAUUCAAUUAUUGGAAACCAUCAACUUACUUUCUUUAACUCUAUAUAAUUCCUUUUGUAAUUUGAUUCGGCGAGUUAACUGUAUGUUUUUUUUUCAAUUUCUCGAAGGAUCAGAGUCGAUGCUAAAAUGAUGUUCUUUAGAAAGUAGUUUCAGUGGGAUAUUGUUCAUGUGAGUGAUUAUUUUGACUUUGUCCCGUGAGUAAUUAUUCCAAAUUGAUCUUACCGAUGAAAGUGGGUUAACAAUCGCUACAAUUUCUGGUGAUCUUGGAGAAAAGUGGCUUUCAAUGACAGCUUAAGAAAUCUACCCAACAAUUUUCGUCAAGAUGAAGAUCAUAUGCGUUAAGCAUAUCCAAGAACAACUAUCAGGCCAAUUGUUUCAAAGUCAAUUUUAAAAAAUCAGUCUGGAGAAAUUAUGACAAUAUGCAUGUCAGACUAUUGGGUUUAUCUUAUGUUGAAAAAGGAAUAUAUGUUUCUAACAAGUGCUGGUGAAAGAAACAAAAGGAAAUGAAGUUUCGAAGCACAGUUGAACAUAAAAUGGAAGAAGCAGCUAUAAAACCUGAAACUAUAGGUGUGCUGCUGAAACUAGAACUACGAACAAGAAUAUAUAACAGGUAAGUCCUGUUUAGUAUUUUUAGUUCAAAAUUCUUGCUUAGCCAAACUUGAGCUUAUGAAGCUUGAUUAUCAUGUGAAUUCUUAGAUACAAUGUUUGUAAUAACCUCUAAUGUAGUCAAAUCUUUAGCUAUUCUUUAUCCAGUACAACUAUCUUAAAAUCCUUCUGAUUUUUCUGACUAUUAUUUUGAAAACUUAGAAUUAGUUUCCUCUACAUCCAAAAUGGAGCACUUGAGUAGGAAAAUUCGUUCAUAUUGCCUGAGGUGCAAGAUAGUAAAAUUAGGAAAAAUUUAAAUAAAAGACAAAAAUACCUAGAAGUUUAUUUUUAUUUGUCUGCAACUUUUGAUAAGAUAAAGGAAUUCACGAGCAUGGAUAUAUUGACUCCUUGAAUAAAAGGAAAAAAAAUCCUGCAAGUGCACAUAUGAGUUUUAUCACAUUUUGCACAUGCCUAUGGUUUCUAAUGUUUCCGUUUGAUGUGGAUUUUCCAUUGGAAGGAUUGCCCAGUAAGCUUUCAAUUUUAUUGCAGCCUCAUGAUUAUGAUGAUAUUGUUCUAGAUACAGCAUGGCUUGAGCUCUUCACAUGCCAUAUCAGAAGAUAUAUGAAUGUUUAAACAGUCAUUUGUUCUUAUUUAUUUCACUCCGGUAAAUUUGGUAAGAUCAAUAGUAGAUGUCACCAAGUCAUCUGUUCUAUUUUGGAUGUUUCUGUUAUGUGAAUACAAAACUAAUACUACUAAAUAUCAGUACCACUAUUAAUUUUUUUUAGUAGUUUUAGCACUUAUGAAAAAAUAUUUUACCUCAUGUUAAAGAGUGUGAAGAGUUUCAAAUGUGAUCUUCAUGAGCUUUUUUUUGGAUAAAAUAAAUUUAAAAAAUAGACUAUGCUUGAGGAAUCAAGUGAAAAAAACUAAAAGAAAUUGAAGAAAAUUAAAAGAAAAUGGGUGGAGGGAACAAGGUUAGUGGGAGCAUCCGAGCAUGGCUGAUAGUGAAAGAGGUGGCUGGAAAAGAGGAGGAGAAAACAGAGUAAGAAGAAAUGAAAACCAAAAAGAACUAAAGGGGAAAAAGAGAGGUAUUUUUGUAUUUAUAAAUUUUGUAUGCUUGGUAUCCGCAUUACUUCAGAAAGAACUUUAGCCAAUUAGCCACUACUGAGUUUCUCUUUUCAGUUGUUGAGUUGAGUAUGACUAUUUCCUCUGAAUUUUGAAUAGAUGUAGUCCCUGACAAUAGCUUCCUAAUUACCUUCUUUUUGCAUUCUACUUUAUGAUUUUCCGUGAUAGGAAGCACCUACAUUAUAUUGGGAUAAUAGUUCUUCUAUCACCUUGUACUGCACUCCGGAUGCAAAGAUAUAAACUCUAGCGGUGGACAUAAAAUUCGAAAAACCGAAUUUCGAACCGAACCGAAUUAAUUCGGUAUUUCGGUUUCUAUUUUUUUGGUAUUUCGGUUCAAUUCGGUACUAAAUUUUUGGUAUUUCGGUAUAACGGUUCGGUACUCGGUAUUAGGAUCUUGACAAUUCGGUAUACCGAAAUAUCGAAAAUUUUAAAAAUCAUGUAGGAGACUAGGAGUAGACUGCCCAGUGCCCAACGGUGGAGCUCAACCCAAAAGCCAAAAUUUUAAUUUUUGGAGCCCAACCCAAUAAUGAAUAACCCAAUAACCCAAAAGUCUUUCACUUUCUUACCCUCUUGUCUUACCCCCAUACCCUAGUUUACCCUAACAUCCUGAGAAACUUACGAACGACUGAGAAACCUAAGAAGUAAGAACGAACGACUCCUUACUGAAAAACUCAUAGAUCGGUUGUCCGCUGUCGCCUGUGAGAUCGCCAGAUCGGCUUUGGCCUGUGAGAACUGAUAUCGGCUGUCAACUCUUCAAAUCAAGACUUCAACAGAAAUAGAGGCAGCAAACAAAGAUUAACAGAAGGAAAGUUCUUUGACAAGAAAUUUGCUCCCUAAAAGAAGAUAACGGAGAAGUUCACAAAGUAGAGUGCAAGCAUUGUAGUCAAGUCUAUAAUGUUCAUCCUAAGAGGAAUGGAACAUCUGGUUUAAGGAAGCAUAUUAGGCGUUGUCUUCAGCGUCUUCCUGGAAUCUGUAUUUAAGAAUUAGAGUCUGUUGCUAUUGUUAAUUGACUUAAUUCUGUUGUUUUUGUUGCACUGCUGGUACUGUUAGACUAAUUCUGCAUUUCUGCUAUUGUUUGCACUGCUGGUAGCCUGGUACUGUUAGACUAAUUCUGCAUUUCUGCUACUGUUAAAAUUUGUUGCUAGUUGCUACUGUUA